rnacentral:rRNA from 1 species
UGGGGAAUUUUGGACAAUGGGCGAAAGCCUGAUCCAGCAAUGCCGCGUGUGUGAAGAAGGCCUUCGGGUUGUAAAGCACUUUUGUCCGGAAAGAAAUCCUUGGCUCAAUACAGUCGGGGGAUGACGGUACCGGAAGAAUAAGCACCGGCUAACUACGUGCCAGCAGCCGCGGUAAUACGUAGGGUGCAAGCGUUAAUCGGAAUUACUGGGCGUAAAGCGUGCGCAGGCGGUUUGCUAAGACCGAUGUGAAAUCCCCGGGCUCAACCUGGGAACUGCAUUGGUGACUGGCAGGCUAGAGUAUGGCAGAGGGGGGUAGAAUUCCACGUGUAGCAGUGAAAUGCGUAGAGAUGUGGAGGAAUACCGAUGGCGAAGGCAGCCCCCUGGGCCAAUACUGACGCUCAUGCACGAAAGCGUGGGGAGCAAACAGGAUUAGAUACCCUGGUAGUCCACGCCCUAAACGAUGUCAACUAGUUGUUGGGGAUUCAUUUCCUUAGUAACGUAGCUAACGCGUGAAGUUGACCGCCUGGGGAGUACGGUCGCAAGAUUAAAACUCAAAUGAAUUGACGGGGUCAUAGCUGUUUCCU